AUUGAACGCUGGCGGCAUGCCUUACACAUGCAAGUCGAACGGCAGCACGGGAGCAAUCCUGGUGGCGAGUGGCGAACGGGUGAGUAAAGCAUCGGAACGUGCCCAGUAGUGGGGGAUAGCCCGGCGAAAGCCGGAUUAAUACCGCAUACGACCUACGGGUGAAAGGGGGGGAUCGCAAGACCUCUCGCUAUUGGAGCGGCCGAUGUCAGAUUAGGUAGUUGGUGGGGUAAAGGCCUACCAAGCCGACGAUCUGUAGCUGGUCUGAGAGGACGACCAGCCACACUGGGACUGAGACACGGCCCAGACUCCUACGGGGGGCAGCAGUGGGGAAUUUUGGACAAUGGGCGCAAGCCUGAUCCAGCCAUGCCGCGUGCGGGAAGAAGGCCUUCGGGUUGUAAACCGCUUUUGUCAGGGAAGAAAUCCUUUGAGCUAAUACCUCGGGGGGAUGACGGUACCUGAAGAAUAAGCACCGGCUAACUACGUGCCAGCCGCCGCGGUAAUAC
rnacentral:rRNA from 1 species